rnacentral:lncRNA from 13 species
UAAAUAAUUUAUUUUCUAGAUUUAAUUGUAUUUAUUUAAUUGUAUAUUUACAUUUGAUAUUUAUUUAUACUUAUAUUUAUUAUGUUUAUCCUUAAGUUUAUAAUAUAUAAAUAUAGAUUUAUAUAAUAGAUUAUUCAUAAAUAUUAAAUUUAUUUUCUAUAUCAGUCAGCUAUUCUUCUAGUAAAAAGCUCUAACUGACACCAAAAUGAGUUAGAAGUGUAAAUGGACUAAAUGCAUGGACACAUCAAAAAUGGGAAUUUUGUUUUAAAAAUAUUACUAUCACUUUUUCAAAUGCCAAGAUAACAUAUCUAGUUUAAUAAAAUUUUCUACCUUUUUGUUUACCAAUUUAUAAUCAGCUAGCAUUUAUUGCCUAACACUAGGUUGACACAUUGUUGUAAAGCCAUCUACUUUGCCAACAAUAUGUUAUUUCUUAAUUAAUUGCUUUAUAUAUGCAUUCAGUUAUCCAACUAAUAGAGAUAGGAAAAUUAGUCACUUAUUGUUCAUUUUCUUGAAAUUGUAAUCAAUAAGAGAAAAUUCAUUUUCUUACAUAACAAUUAAGAAGAGGAGACAGAUAUGUUAGGAACUAGUUGUAAGAUAGAGUGAUGAACGUUAAUCACGUAUGUAUGUGUCACUUCUUAAAUCUGAUAUGGUUUGGCUAUGUCCCUGCUCAAAUCUCUUCUUGAACAGUAGUUCCCAUAAUCCCCCUGUGUUGUAGGAGGGACAUGGUGGGAGGUAAUUGAAUCAUGGGGUGGUUACCCCCAUGUUGCUAUUCUCGUGAUAGUGUGUUCUCAAAAGAUCUGAUGAUUUUAUAAUGGGCUUUUUCCCUACCUUCACUCUGCAGUUCUCCUGGCUGCUGCUGUGUGAAGAAGGACAUGUUUGCUUCCCCUUCUGCCAUGAUUGUAAGAUUCCUGAGGCUUCCCCAUCCCUGAAGAAUUCAGUGAAGCCUGUGGAGAGCUGGAAAGAAAUAUUAUUUCCUGUAGUUCACCAUCUGUGGACCAAGGUUUGUUUUUCUUUUUCCUUGUGGUAUAAUGCAAUGCUUACACCAUACAAUCUUGGCCUACACCAAAUCGUUUGUUUCAUCUUUAAUUUGUAA